GACGAACGCUGGCGGCGUGCUUAACACAUGCAAGUCGAACGGAAAGGCCCUGCUUUUGUGGGGUGCUCGAGUGGCGAACGGGUGAGUAACGCGUGAGUAACCUGCCCUUGACUUUGGGAUAACUUCAGGAAACUGGGGCUAAUACCGGAUAGGAGCUCCUGCUGCAUGGUGGGGGUUGGAAAGUUUCGGCGGUUGGGGAUGGACUCGCGGCUUAUCAGCUUGUUGGUGGGGUAGUGGCUUACCAAGGCUUUGAUGGGUAGCCGGCCUGAGAGGGUGGCCGGCCACAUUGGGACUGAGAUACGGCCCAGACUCCUACGGGAGGCAGCAGUGGGGAAUAUUGCACAAUGGGCGGAAGCCUGAUGCAGCAACGCCGCGUGCGGGAUGACGGCCUUCGGGUUGUAAACCGCUUUCGCCUGUGACGAAGCGUGAGUGACGGUAAUGGGUAAAGAAGCACCGGCUAACUACGUG
rnacentral:rRNA from 1 species